UGUCAAACCAAAGCCGGGCUCCCUCCGUUAGGGUUUGUACGAACAUGUGGCACCAUACUGGCAUGGGCCAUCUUCCUAGCUGCCCCGCUCCCCGGAAGGCAUGCAAGUGAUCCUCAGGGUCUCUUGUUCCAUCAUAACGAUCAAAGCCUGGGGGUAGCUUUGUCUUGGGAGGCAUAGGUUGGCUUCAAAAGGUGGUGGAAUGGGUGGUGCUUCUGAGAUUCUCCGUGUGAACUUUGAGACCUCAGCUAAGUCUCGUGGUAGGUAUGGUUGACCCAAGCCACCGUCACCAAAGUUAUCUUUCUCCUUUUCUUU
rnacentral:lncRNA from 1 species